UGAGUGGCGCACGGCUGAGUAACACGUGGGAAUCUGUCGUCCAGUGGGGGAUAACGCAUCGAAAGGUACGCUAAUCCCGCAUACGUUCCGCAAGGAAGAAAGGCGCAAGUCGCUGGAUGAGGAGCCUGCGGCCCAUCAGGUAGUUGGAGAGGUAACGGCUCACCAAGCCAAUGACGGGUAGCUGGUCUGUGAGGACAACCAGCCAGACUGGGACUGAGAACGGCCCAGACUCCUACGGGAGGCAGCAGUAAGGAAUUUUCGUCAAUGGGGGAAACCCUGAACGAGCAACGCCGCGUGGAGGAUGACGGUCUUCGGAUUGUAAACUCCUUUUAUGAGGGACGAUAAUGACGGUACCUCAGGAAUAAGCCCCGGCUAACUCUG
rnacentral:rRNA from 1 species